UACGGAGGGUGCAAGCGUUAUCCGGAUUCACUGGGUUUAAAGGGUGCGUAGGUGGUUUUGUAAGUCAGUGGUGAAAGCCCGGAGCUUAACUCCGGAACUGCCAUUGAUACUGCUUAACUUGAAUCAACUUGAGGUGGAUGGAAUAUUACAUGUAGCGGUGAAAUGCUUAGAUAUGUAAUACAACACCGAUUGCGAAGGCAGUUCACUAAGGUUGUAUUGACACUGAGGCACGAAAGCGUGGGGAUCAAACAGG
rnacentral:rRNA from 1 species